rnacentral:lncRNA from 1 species
CUUCCUUCUUAAGUUGCUACAAGUGUUCUACCUCACUGAUCAGCAUAAAGGCUACUAGGGGAACUUUCUGUUCCUCAAUUAGGUCUAGGAUAGAUAAAAGCUUCUCUAUCUACAUGAUCUAGGCUUCGGCUACUAAAGGGUCAGAGCCACCUUCAAAGUGUGGCAGGUUAAGUUUCCUAAACUCCGCUAUGUUGUGAGAGAUGAACCUCUCAACUGUUCAGUACUCCGGGGCAAGGCUUAACAGGGGUCAACUUGGUUUUAUCCUAUGGCUAUGGUCAAUUCGAGGUGAUAGUGUGCCCCACCAGGCUGGUCACACGUUGCAGGCCUAG